CAAUAGCGUAUAUUAAAGUUGUUGCAGUUAAAAAGCUCGUAGUUGGAUUUGUGGCGUACGGUGUGUUCCGGGCACUUGUUGUCUGAGUAACCUGCUGUUGCCAUCCUUGGGUGGAACCUGUGUGGCAUUAGGUUGUCGUGCAGGGGAUGCCCAUCAUUUACUGUGAAAAAAUUAGAGUGUUCAAAGCAGGCUUAUGCCGUUGAAUAUAUUAGCAUGGAAUAAUGAGAUAGGACUUUUUUGCUAUUUUGUUGGUUUGCGCAAAGAGGUAAUGAUUAAUAGGGACAGUUGGGGGUAUUCGUAUUCCAUUGUCAGAGGUGAAAUUCUUGGAUUUUCGGAAGACGAACUACUGCGAAAGCAUUUACCAAGGAUGUUUUCAUUAA
rnacentral:rRNA from 1 species